AGUGGUGCUUCAGGUUAAGUACAGUUUCAGGUUAAGAAUGGACCUCCGGAACGAAUUAAGUACUUAACCCGAGGUACCACUGUAGUCAUAAUAGACCUAAGGCCUCUUCAGGGAUUACAAAGAGGGAAAUGCAAAUGCAAAGAGAGGGGCAAUGCGGAUUAGUAUCCAUACCCCAUCGCUGUUUCUGCCUCCUAACUCUUUGAUUGCCUGACUGAAAGAAGGAGACACCUGUAUCUGUGGAGGCCUCUUGACACGUUUUAAGAACCUCCUGUUAUGUCAGAUUUGAAAAUGCAUGGGGAAUCUCUGUGGAUACAAAAGGAUCUGUGCUUGAGAGCAUUGCUUUGUAAAGUAGGAAGGCAGGCAGGGAGUGGAAAUGAUGGCGGAGAGGCUUGCAUGUUCACAACACCCCUCUCUCAGCAACCAUAGAAUCGUAGAAUUAGAAAGGACCCUAUGGGUCAUCUAGUCCAACCCCCUGCAAUGCAAAAACCAAUGCAGGAGUUCACUUUAACACUGAAAGAAUAUACUAGUCAGUUACCUUUUCUUCCCUAUUUACAGGACUCCUGCAAAGACUCAGAGACGUGGAUAUAGAUUACUACAGGUUAAUGACAUGUGACUUUAUGGUAAGAAGCGAAGGCUGCAAUCCCAUGUACGCUUAUCUCGGGACAAGGGUCACAGCUCAGGGCCAUAGCAUCUACUUCGCAUGCGGGAGGUCCAAGUUCAAUCCCAAGUGGCAACUCCUCAGCCACCUCAGAUCAGCUUCAGAAAACAGGCAACCACAUCACGCCACCUCCCUGAAUCUAAUGAAGGUACAGAAAUGGUUAUGGACAGCUCUACAAAUACGUAGCCUUUUCUCUCUCUCGGGAGCAGGAUGGACUAGAAUUCUGAGCUUCUUCUGGUGGUUGAACAGACUGGCAAGUAGACAGCAGACAAGAGAGACGCUUGUUAUUCAGCAGAUGAACUUAAUGUCUCUUGCUUAUAAAUAAGAGAUUUCCCCGUACUUGUAAAUUUGGAAACAUCCCUAUGCAUGUUUACUCAGAAGAAAAUCCCACUUUAAUUUUAAAAUCUCAUUUUGAUGCAAUAUACUCCCAAGUAAUUCUGCAAAGUGUUGCCAGCUCAGCAAUCCUCUAAAGAUAGGAAGCCGCCUUAUGGCCUAUAUAGUCCAAAAGUGAGAGACAGCAAGUCUCUAGAGUUUAAGGCAAAGAGUCUUUCCCUUCACCUGGAAUCCUUUCAGCCAGACACGACUUUCUGCCCGCAAAGCAGAAAACCUCUCCUGCCUGCCUCGUUUUGCUGCAAGUAACACUAGCAGUCUGCUUAGAAUUUAAAUAUCUGAUUGACCCAAAAUUUGAAAGAGCCCAUCAGAAAAAUAAUCCAGACAAGAUGGUUUGCUAGCAGAGACGCAGAAAAGGGUGGCUGUAGCCUGCUCACCCUGAUAAUGGAGUUUUGCCUUCAGCUGCCAUGACCAAAAAGCUGCUGAUAGGCCUCUACACCUUGCUCAAUUUGUCUAACCUCCCUUUAAAUCUGCCUUAGUCAAGCGCCACCCCAACAUCUUGUGGCAUCAAAACGCUGACAGCAUUAAGAUAAAUUCAACAAUGUAAAUAAUUUUUGAUGGAUUCAAUAAUGGAAUACUGAAUGGUAUAGUUUUUGUAAAAUAUGCAGGGAUUUAUGAUAUGUAAAAUGAACCAUGGAAAGAGAAGAAUGGAAGUCAUUUAAGGAUGUAAAAUGAGUAUUUUGAAGGAAAUAACAGUCCGACUGCAGCAGCCUUGGGAAACAGGGCCUUUUCAGUGGUGGCUCCAGUCUCCUGCAAUUCCUUUCUGAGAGAAAUACAACAGGCUUCAUUAGUUCCAAGUUUUGAAGAAAGUUUUCCCUGGCUUUUAAUUUAAAGGUUUUAGUGUAUAUUCUACUUGUGGAGUUUUCGAUAGUGAAAUGAUUUUUUAUUUAUUUAAAACUGUUUUAUCCUA